UAGCUUAGCGGUUAAGGCUAUGGACCGCCAAUCCGGAGACGGCGGGUUCGAUUCCCGU
rnacentral:tRNA from 1 species